UUUUUGUGGGUGAUUACGAUUGCGAGAGAAGGAGGAAGCCAGAGCCCAGAGCCCUGAUCCGUAGCCGGAGCCGGAGCCGGAGCAUGGAGCUGCGAGCGAGCACCUGGAUAAAUAUCUUAUCUUUCGUCGACUUGAGUUCGCAUUGGGUUUCCUACGUUUCCUCGCUGCUCUUUCUUGGUCUUUUUCCGUGGAGUGUGAUACUCCCCUGUGACCGAUAAAUGUGAGUCAGUAUUACUUCGUGCGCAAAGGGAUCCGCGCAGCCUACGUGACGACAUCGCCCAGGAGCACCGCGAUCAACUUCGAUGAUGACCAAGGAGUCUGCAGGGUCGUUAGAGAUGGAGGACAAACUUUGACAUCAUCAUCAACUGAUCAUCGGACUGAUCAAAGGGGUUUUUUUUCGAUCACAAGAAGGCGUGGAAGAUU